UCUCAUCUUGUUCUACAGCGCCUGCACCUGUCCUACCAUCUACCAGUGUUGGAACUCUUCGAAGUGUAUUAAUGAUUAUUAUUUUAGUAACCAUAAAAGUUUAAAACAAUACAUUUUAUUGCAUAAUUAUUUGUUAGAAAAAACGACAAGUACAAAUGAGUAAGGAGGCUGUUGAUUUUUCAUGGUUAUUUUAUAUCUUGUUGAUUGUUCCAAAAAAAAAACUAAGUUUUCAAGAAUGCUGUGAUUAAAGUACCUAUAGUAUUAUAUUUAAAAUAAAAACUUAGUUUGUAAAUAGACGAAGGCUGACCACAAAAGAAGUACUUAUAGCUGUCUGUGUCUGUGUAAAGAAUUUAAAUAAAAAGAUGUGUAUAUUUAAACAGUUUUCUUUAUUUUAUUAGUCAUUUAUUCCUGUAAAAAGCCCACACAGGGCACUUUUACAUGUCCCAACAUAACUUUACCCUGCCAAUUUGGCAGUAUUGUGGGUUAAGGCUGAUUAAAACGUGUUAAGUAGAUAAGUAGGUACCUACCUAACUACUUUAUUGACUUAAUUUUAAGUAAUUAAUUGCGUAGUAGUAUAGUACAAAACUUAUUGUUGAUGAAAAAGAACUCUUGUGUCUCACUAAAACUUAUUUCCAUUAACACCAAGCACUCACCGCUUACCACACUUUAUCUU